AUGCAACGUGGGAAAUUUUCAAACCAUGAAACAUUGUAUAAAAUAAAAACUAAAAGUUAUACCCAGGGGUGUGUGUACCCCUUUAAGUGGUGUGGGGGGUGUGCGCAUGCGCUGGCCUCCAGCAACAUGCCCCCCAUGCUUUUCUUGGGCACUGGGGCCACCAGAGCUGCCAUGCCCCAUGCCCCGGAGCAGAGCAGGGGAGCAGAGCUGGGCCACAGAGCCUCUGGCCGAUGUGACCCUAAAAACAGAAAAGAAAGCACAGAAGAACUACCAGUGCGGGUCCUGGGUGCUGUUGGCGUGUCUGCUUCUGUCCACAUUUGCCAGUUAAUCAGAACCCAGAAGUGACCGGCG
rnacentral:lncRNA from 1 species